GCAGCAGCAUUCAUGCAAACCUCUGUCUGCUGAGCUGGUGGAUGAUUAUUAAUGAAAAUGGACAUUGCACAAUCCAACUCUGCAGCCACCUUUGCUUUUCGAUAAGCAAAAUGAUGGAGACUGGCCACCACAAAUUGGCUCUUUCUUUCAACUUUCUCCAUCGCCCCAUGUUUCUUUGCCCCCUUUUUUUUACUUUUAAAUUGAACUCUAAACCAGUUCACUGUACCAAGUUACAAACAUGUGAUGAUUUGGACAUGAAAAGGGAAAUUCAUGAGAACCAUAAGGAACUUUGCAAGGUAAGUCAUGUAUACAGUAAGAGUUUGCCUUUUAAACUCUGUUUUUGAGGGUGUUUGGGGAAAAGAAGAAAUGACUGCUAGAAAUAUCUGAUUUUUUUAUGCUUAAUGAUCUUUUACUAUGAACAAAUAAAGAUUUCUAGCUGUGUGUGGCAUCUGUGUUUGAAAAGGAUCAGACACUGAGAAAGUUUUAUACAAUGAGUCUUCUUUGAUUCU